GCUUGCUCCCGGAUAGUUAGCGGCGGACGGGUGAGUAACACGUGGGUAACCUGCCUGUAAGACUGGGAUAACUCCGGGAAACCGGAGCUAAUACCGGAUAGUUCCUUGAACCGCAUGGUUCAAGGAUGAAAGACGGUUUCGGCUGUCACUUACAGAUGGACCCGCGGCGCAUUAGCUAGUUGGUGGGGUAAUGGCUCACCAAGGCGACGAUGCGUAGCCGACCUGAGAGGGUGAUCGGCCACACUGGGACUGAGACACGGCCCAGACUCCUACGGGAGGCAGCAGUAGGGAAUCUUCCGCAAUGGACGAAAGUCUGACGGAGCAACGCCGCGUGAGUGAUGAAGGUUUUCGGAUCGUAAAGCUCUGUUGUUAGGGAAGAACAAGUGCGAGAGUAACUGCUCGCACCUUGACGGUACCUAACCAGAAAGCCACGGCUAACUACGUGCCAGCAGCCGCGGUAAUACGUAGGUGGCAAGCGUUGUCCGGAAUUAUUGGGCGUAAAGGGCUCGCAGGCGGUUUCUUAAGUCUGAUGUGAAAGCCCCCGGCUCAACCGGGGAGGGUCAUUGGAAACUGGGAAACUUGAGUGCAGAAGAGGAGAGUGGAAUUCCACGUGUAGCGGUGAAAUGCGUAGAGAUGUGGAGGAACACCAGUGGCGAAGGCGACUCUCUGGUCUGUAACUGACGCUGAGGAGCGAAAGCGUGGGGAGCGAACAGGAUUAGAUACCCUGGUAGUCCACGCCGUAAACGAUGAGUGCUAAGUGUUAGGGGGUUUCCGCCCCUUAGUGCUGCAGCUGACGCAUUAAGCACUCCGCCUGGGGAGUACGGUCGCAGACUGAACUCAAUGAGUUGAGGGGGGGCCGCGCGCAACCGUGGAGCAGUGGUUAAUUCAUAGCACGCGAACAACCGUACAGUCUGUGACGUCCUCUGACAAGCUUAAAAUAGGGGCUUUUCCUUCGGAAAGAGUGGACAGGUGGGGUGCAUGGUUGUCGUCAACUC
rnacentral:rRNA from 2 species